GACGGACGCUGGCGGCGUGCUUAACACAUGCAAGUCGAACGGUAAGGCCCUUCGGGUACGACGAGUGGCGAACGGGUGGAGUAACACGUGGGUGAUCUGCCCUGCACUUCGGGAUAAGCCUGGGAAACUGGGUCUAAUACCGGAUAGGACCAUGGACUUCACGGUUUGUGGUGGAAAGCUUUUGCGGUGUGGGAUGGGCCCGCGGCCUAUCAGCUUGUUGGUGGGGUAAUGGCCUACCAAGGCGACGACGGGUAGCCGGCCUGAGAGGGUGUCCGGCCACACUGGGACUGAGAUACGGCCCAGACUCCUACGGGAGGCAGCAGUGGGGAAUAUUGCACAAUGGGCGCAAGCCUGAUGCAGCGACGCCGCGUGAGGGAUGACGG
rnacentral:rRNA from 1 species